AUACGAAGGGGGCUAGCGUUGUUCGGAAUUACUGGGCGUAAAGCGCGCGUAGGCGGAUUGAUCAGUCAGGGGUGAAAUCCCGAGGCUUAACCUCGGAACUGCCUUUGAUACUGUCAGUCUCGAGUUCGAGAGAGGUGAGUGGAAUUCCUAGUGUAGAGGUGAAAUUCGUAGAUAUUAGGAAGAACACCAGUGGCGAAGGCGGCUCACUGGCUCGAUACUGACGCUGAGGUGCGAAAGCGUGGGGAGCAAACAGGAUUAGAAACCCCAGUAGUCC
rnacentral:rRNA from 1 species